rnacentral:rRNA from 1 species
UUGGAGGGCAAGUCUGGUGCCAGCAGCCGCGGUAAUUCCAGCUCCAAUAGCGUAUAUUAAAGUUGUUGCAGUUAAAAAGCUCGUAGUUGAACUUCAGACCUGACCGGGCGGUCCGCCUAACGGUGUGUACUGUCUGGCCGGGCCUUACCUCUUGGUGAGCCGGCAUGCCCUUCACUGGGUGUGUCGGGGAACCAGGACCUUUACCUUGAGAAAAUUAGAGUGUUCAAAGCAGGCUUACGCCGGAAUACAUUAGCAUGGAAUAAUAAAAUAGGACGUGUCGG